rnacentral:rRNA from 1 species
CACUGGUACUCGAGUGGCGAACGGGUGAGUAACACGUGGGUGGUCUGCCUUGCACUCUGGGAUAAGCUUGGGAAACUGGGUCUAAUACCGGAUAGGAACCGUCUUUAGUGUGGUGGUUGGAAAGUUUUUCGGUGCAAGAUGAGCUCGCGGCCUAUCAGCUUGUUGGUGGGGUAAUGGCCUACCAAGGCGUCGACGGGUAGCCGGCCUGAGAGGGUGUACGGCCACAUUGGGACUGAGAUACGGCCCAG